rnacentral:rRNA from 1 species
AGCGCAGGCGGUUUCUUAAGUCUGAUGUGAAAGCCUUCGGCUCAACCGAAGAAGUGCAUCGGAAACUGGGAAACUUGAGUGCAGAAGAGGACAGUGGAACUCCAUGUGUAGCGGUGAAAUGCGUAGAUAUAUGGAAGAACACCAGUGGCGAAGGCGGCUGUCUGGUCUGUAACUGACGCUGAGGCUCGAAAGUAUGGGUAGCAAACA